UUUUAAGUUUUAAACCCUAGAUUUAAGAUUUUCUCUUUUAUAUAAAAGUCCCGGGAGCAAGGGCGUCCAUUAACACACAAGAUGUUUACAUUUUAUUGUCUUUUUAUUAAAUGAAGCAUGAUGCUGUAUAACUAUUCUCGACAUUAGGAUAAUACAUUAUAGUCUUAAGGAUUCCUUUAUAUUGUUUUUAAUUGUCAUCUUAUUGAUAAAAAAAGACUCAAUAAAAUAUAACUUAACUUAACUCAUUAAAGCAUUCUCAGCCAGUUCCACGAUAUCGAAAGAACACGUUCGCACAACUUUUACACGACAAACAGCUGAUUUCCGUUCCACUAAAAUCCAUCAGAACGAAAAUUUGCACGAAAAUCAAAGCGAACGAAAACGUAAGCAUUUCAGUGUAAUUUUGCGUUCCACUAUCUUUUUUCUUUCGUACGCAUGCGAACACAAAUGUCAAAAUCAGUCACUUGUGUGUUUGCUAUCGAAUAAUAACAAUUAAGGAAAAUUGUUUUAACAUUAACAUUGCUUGAUUGAAAAUGGAAACAAAAAUCACGAAAAAAUCAUCAACUACACAGCUGCGGGCACUAGUAUAUGGAGGAGAAUCCUGUGUUCACCAGAGGAGUGCCAAUUUUUGGAAGCAGCAGAAGAAGUUUUAAAUCGGGGCGGAUUCUCCACUUCUCUUCCAUCAUAUCCAAAAGAGCCCGAAAACUUCCUUCGACACACGAAAAUUGGCCACAAACCUUGAAAAAAUUAUUAUUAUUAUUUUUUAUUAUUUCAAAAAUGUAAAAAUACAAUCAUACUUACUGGUUGUUAGGUACUUCAAAUAAAUUCGAAGCAUCUCUUAAA